rnacentral:rRNA from 1 species
GACGAACGCUGGCGGCGUGCUUAACACAUGCAAGUCGAACGGAAAGGCCCUGCUUUUGUGGGGUGCUCGAGUGGCGAACGGGUGAGUAACACGUGAGUAACCUGCCCUUGACUUUGGGAUAACUUCAGGAAACUGGGGCUAAUACCGGAUAGGAGCUCCUGCUGCAUGGUGGGGGUUGGAAAGUUUCGGCGGUUGGGGAUGGACUCGCGGCUUAUCAGCUUGUUGGUGGGGUAGUGGCUUACCAAGGCUUUGACGGGUAGCCGGCCUGAGGGGGUGACCGGCCACAUUGGGACUGAGAUACGGCCCAGACUCCUACGGGAGGCAGCAGUGGGGAAUAUUGCACAAUGGGCGGAAGCCUGAUGCAGAAACGCCGCGUGCGGGAUGACGGCCUUCGGGUUGUAAACCGCUUUCGCCUGUGACGAAGCGUGAGUGACGGUAAUGGGUAAAGAAGCACCGGCUAACUACGUG